rnacentral:rRNA from 1 species
AUUGAACGCUGGCGGCAGGCUUAACACAUGCAAGUCGAGCGGAGAUGAGGUGCUUGCACCUUAUCUUAGCGGCGGACGGGUGAGUAAUGCUUAGGAAUCUGCCAUUUAGUGGGGGACAACAUUCCGAAAGGAAUGCUAAUACCGCAUACGUCCUACGGGAGAAAGCAGGGGAUCUUCGGACCUUGCGCUAAAUGAUGAGCCUAAGUCGGAUUAGCUAGUUGGUGGGGUAAAGGCCUACCAAGGCGACGAUCUGUAGCGGGUCUGAGAGGAUGAUCCGCCACACUGGGACUGAGACACGGCCCAGACUCCUACGGGAGGCAGCAGUGGGGAAUAGUGGACAAUGGGGGGAACCCUGAUCCAGCCAUGCCGCGUGUGUGAAGAAGGCCUUAUGGUUGUAAAGCACUUUAAGCGAGGAGGAGGCUACUGAGACUAAUACUCUUGGAUAGUGGACGUUACUCGCAGAAUAAGCACCGGCUAACUCUGUG